GCUACGGGAGGCAGCAGUGGGGAAUAUUGCACAAUGGGGGAAACCCUGAUGCAGCGACGCCGCGUGAGUGAAGAAGUAUCUCGGUACGUAAAGCUCUAUCAGCAGGGAAGAAAAUGACGGUACCUGACUAAGAAGCCCCGGCUCACUACGUGCCAGCAGCCGAGGUCAUACGUAGGGGGCAAGCGUUAUCCGGAUUUACUGGGUGUAAAGGGAGCGUAGACGGCAGCACAAGUCUGGAGUGAAAUCCCGGGGCUUAACCCCGGAACUGCUUUGGAAACUGUGCGGCUUGAGUGCAGGAGGGGUAAGCGGAAGUCCUAGUGUAGCGGUGAAAUGCGUAGAUAUUAGGAGGAACACCGGUGGCGAAGGCGGCGUACUGGACUGUAACUGACGUUGAGGCUCGAAAGCGUGGGGAGCAAACAGGAUUAGAUACCCUUGUAGUC
rnacentral:rRNA from 1 species